AGAAUUAUUAUAAUUUUGGCGUAAGCUUGCCAACUGGAAAAAUGGGGCCAUAUCAGGAAUGUUUGGCACCAACGGUAAGCAAGUUAUUACUAAUUUAUCAUAGAGGACAAAGUGCUCCUUAUACAGUAGAAAAAUUAAAAUGCAAAUCAAUGUAUUCAAAAUAUAUCAAUUCAAGUUUUUAUCAUUUUGCAUUGAUGAAAAAGAUCCGACCGGUUAUUUUUUUGUACAACUCAAAAAAGAGGAAUACGAUUUUUUCCAAUUAUCAAUCAGGUCCAUCACAAAGGAGGCUACUGUUUCUAAAAAAAAUGGUUAACUAAUUGCCAAAAUGAAAAUCUGAGAACUUACCUUGCUUUGUAUUAGAUACCUUAGAUUAAAAGGUGUUACAAUUCAACAUUUUCCUUAAGAGCCUGCAGCUUCUUCUUUUUCAAUUUAGGACAGUUUAUGAUACUUGAUAAUAUUACGCAAAGGAAAUCAUAUGUUCAUUUACUUCCUUCGAAUAUGCUCAACCUAAAUAAAAAAAACUGAAAACCAAGGUUGUAUACAUACGAAGAUAUGGUGCCUGCGGGAGUUGAAAUCUCAGUUUCUUUUAAAUGAUUUGUAAGGUUACCAACAGGAAAUUUUGAAAACAAUUUAGUACAGAGACUAUUUCGCUGAUGAUGUAUUCGGAGACGGUACAUUGAUCUAUAUACUCGAUAGUAUAAUCGUUGUAUAUAUAUAUGUUAGCGGCAAUAAGUGAAAUUAGGUAUUAAGCUUAAAUCCUAUGCAAUAAUCUUUCGACUUGUUAGUAAGUCUAUUGACUAAAUUAUGUUAUGCAUGAGUCAUUAAUCCUAGAAAUUAAGCUUAAAUCCUGAAUAAUGUGUGCAGGAAAUCAGCUUAAUGCCUGAAAUAUAAAUGCAAGUAAAUAAAAGACAUUUUGUCAUUUAAAUAAAAAUACAUUUGUUACAUAAUAGCAGUAUGAGAACAGGGGCCUGUUUAUUGAAAGCUCGGUCCUAUGAGAAAUUAUUAAGUCAGAAAUAAGAAUAAAAUUGGACCCAACUUUCGACAUUUCUCUAAGAGAUUCGAAAGAUACCAAAGGGACAGUCAAACACAUAAAUCUAAAAUAAACUGACAACGGUGAAUGGUGAAGUUGAAAUCAUCCGUUCGUAAAUUUUACGGACGCCAUCACGAGUUGGUUGACCGUUAUGGAAUAACCGUUUCACAAAUGAUAUCGGUACUGUUCUCUAACGUUCGUAAAUAACACCCUUCCCUUCAUUGAAUGCAUGACCUACCGAAUUAGACUAUUUACCGGAUUUGUAAUCACAUAAGCAACACGACGGGUGCCACAUGUGGAGCAGGAUCUGUCUACCCUUCCGGAGCACCUGAGAUCACCCCUAGUUUUUUUUGGGGUUUGUUUAUUCUUUAGUUUUCUAUGUUGUGUCAUGUGUACUAUUGUUUUUCUGUUUGUCGUUUUCAUUUUUAGCCUUGGCGUUGUCAUUUGUUUUAGAUUUAUGUGUUUGACUGUCCCUUUGGUAUCUUUCGACCCUCUCUUAUUGCCUAGGAUUUACGCUUUAUGCUUAAUUUCACUUAUCGCCGCUAACAUUGAACAAAAGUGAAUUAUCAGUAAAAAAAAAGUCCAUUUAUUUCAACUUAAAUCGAUAUUUUUUUUUAAUAUUACCAUGUAACUGUAUAAGUGAUUUUUACAAAAUAGAAACAAAACGAUGUAGAAAUGUCUGAAGUUUUAUUGUUUAUAUGUUUAUUACAUUAUUCAUGCUCUUUUUAAUUUUCUGACGAGAUGAACACAAGAAAAAUAUCUCUUGAAAAUUUUGCUAUGUAUCCUUUCCAAAUUAAAAUCGUGAACAUUUGCAUUUGUGUUUAACCUAUCAUAUGAUGAAAACAGAACUCACGAAAAUAAUGGCCAAAUAAAACUUCAGAUAUUUCUUCAUCUUUUGGUAUCUAUAAUAUAGAAAUUGCUCAUACAGUUACUUGGUAGUAUUUUUAUUUUUUUAAAUAUCGAUUUUAGUUGAAAUGAUAGGUCAUUUUUUGAGUGAGAACCAACUUUUGUUCCAUGAGUGGAUAUAUAUAUAUAUAUGUUAGCGGCAAUAAGUAAAAUUAGGCAUUAAGCUUAAAUCCUAGGCAAUAAGCUAACGCCUAGGCAUUAAGUUAUUGCCUGAAAUUUCAGGCAUUAAGCUUAUUGCCUGAAAUCUGAUGAUGAUUAUUUAUCCUAUUGCCGAACAUAAUUAGGCAAUAAGUAAACUCUGGAAUUGAUGCAUAUUGGGUGAUUUAUUCUUGAUAUAGAGUCGUUUUUUAUUUAUAUUCUAAUUCUACAUUAUAAAUAUACAUAAAUUUGACAGACUCUCAAAUUUAGUAAGUUAAUUUAGUAAUUUAGCAGUUGAAAAACAGAAUUAACUCAUACUUUUUUCAUGUUCGUGUGGUAUUACUAAUUAUCAAAAAGACUUAAAAAAAAAGUAUUGUAUCCAAUUGAAAAGGGGGGGGAGAUUCUAUAGAAUAUUAUAAUUAUAUUAUUUGAAAAUUUUACACUGCAUAAGUCUGGUUAAAUCAAAGUAGAACAAAUUAAGAUUAUGAUUUUUUAUCCCACCAUUUUCCCUUUUUUUUAUAUUGGAUAAGUAAAUGUCUUUGUUAAUAGUUCCACAAUUUGUGAAAAGCAAAAUGAAUUUUUAACACUCAUUUCUAUCAAGUUUUUUAUUUCAAAAUUAUAAUUUGAUACAUUUUAAUAUCAAAAACAUAUUUUAUUAGGGAAUUUAUUUCUGGAUCUCUUGUGGAAGAUUUGUCAUAUUGGCAAUCAUGCCACAUCUUCUUUUUUUAUAUUUAAGGUGACUGAGCCCUGUACUUUUGCAUCGUUAAAAUCGGUGAAAUUCGAUUUUUUUCUUCUGCACUUUUCAAACGUAUGUUAUUUGCAGUAAUAAAAUAAAAUAGUUGACGUAUUUAUAUGAAAUGCAGAGAUUUUCCUAUGAACUUUUAAGUAUGAAACCGUGAUGCUUCGAAUUCAGGUCCUCAAAGCAUAAAAUAUUUUACCGAUUGUAUAUUUAAUUUUAACUAUUACAAUUAUUUUGUUCAUCUAAUAUAUUUUUUACUUAUAUUUUGUUUCAAAGAGUUUAGAUCUACAACUAUUAUAUAAAAAUAUUUAUUAUAACCUUUCAUUAAACUAAUAAUAUUUUUUAAUAAUAAUCGGUUUAUGAUUAAAUUUUUUGGUUGAAUUUGAUACAAUAUUUCAUUUUUUUCAUUUGCUUUUUCUUUUUACGCCAAUACUUAUGACAUCCCAGCUAAUAUAAUCUUUAGAUAGCUUCGAUAUUUCUCUGUCUAAGAAUAUCUCAUAGGACUGAUCUAGGACAGUGUCGAUAAACAGGCCGGAGUUAUCAUAAUGUUAUUAUGAUAAAAAAAUGUAUUUUAAUUUAAAUGAAUAAAUGUCUUUCAUUUACUCGCAUUUACAUUUCGGGCAUUAACCUUAAGUGCCUGCACACAUUUUUCAGGAUUAAGCUUAAAUCUAGGUUUAAAAAUAAUGCCUAAAAUCAUUCGGCAAUAGACUUACUGCCUAGGGUGAGCUUAUUGCCUAGGAUUUAAGCUUAAGGGCAUACGAUACAGUUACAGGGAAGGUUAUGACGUUUCUACGUAAAUUGCUAUUUUCGCGACGUCAAACUAUGAACUUAUCGGAAAAGAUUCAGUUUUCGACUGAUUUAAUCAUUCAAACUUAUUUAACUUGAAAAACGAGUUCAUGGACCCCUCUUUUUUAAAAUGCCAUUUGGUUUGAUUACGGACAAGAUUAUGUGUGCCAAUUUUCAUGAAAACGUAAAGAGUACAAUUUUUUUAAGAGUUGAUAAAUAUACCCAAAAAAAUAAUGUUUUUUCUACAUUCAUGAACAUUUGAUAAAUAUGAGAUAUUUCUGAAUAUAAAAUGUAUAAAUUUUAGGAUACUUAUAAAACAGAAAUUACAAAUUAUUUAACAAAAAACAAUUUAUGUUUAUUUUUAAAACAAAAAGUUAUGACUUUCUUUCGAAAGAGAAAAUACGGCCACAAAUCCGAAUUUUGAGCAAAUAUACAAAAUUUCGACCUCAUUUUACUCAAAAAGUAGCACAUGAAGGUAAUACUUUUUUAACAUAUUUGAUUUAAUAUAGGUAAAAACAGUCUAUAUGCAAAUUUUUAUCAAAAUGUAAAUACAGGAUCAAAACUGUAUCGUUAUGCCCUUCAAUUGCCUAAUUUCACUUAUUGCCGCUAACAUAUAUAUAUAAGAUAUAGUUAGAGGAGGGGAUAAGAUGUCUUCGCAGUGCUAGGCGGUUUUGUCGUAGAAUGUUUUGUCGUUAUGUAUACAUAAAUUUUUAAAAAAAAUUAUUGAUAAUAUAUAUGCACACUCACCAAAAAAUUGUGUUAACGCAUGCUGAAGAAAUAUGCGGCAAUCCCCCACGCAGAGUUACCGAUCCUUGCGAUGACCUAUAACUCUCCAAUGGAAGAUUGGUAUUGCGGGAAAAUAAGAAUGAAUGCCUACUCCGUUUUGUUAGAUCACUUAGUCACUUGCACUGCACCAUUAUUAUAAUAGUGGAAUAGAAUGGUAUACAAAUGGAUGAAAACUAUAUAUACAUGUAAAUGCUAUAUUGAUGAAAUAUAGCAAUAAUUUUGAAAAUGGAAAUGUGGAAUGUGUCAAAGAGACAAAAACCCGACCAAUGAACAAAAAACAACCGAAGACUACCAAUAGGUCUUCAACGCAAAGGGAAACUCCAACACACAAUUUUUUUCUGAGACAAGCACUUUUGACAUCCACAAGAACUUAGGGUCAUCCGAUAUUAUGAACUUCAGUACUUGGGUUUCUUUUAUAAAAAAAAAAUCAUUAAGGGUUGUACCGACCGAAUAUAAAAAUAAAGUACAUGCCAAGACACAUAAUUAACAGCGCCUGGUGAUGUUUCAUAGCCUGACCGGAUUUUGCCUCUGAUGAAGGUACUUUUUGGACCCGAAACCGGUCAAGCUUUGAAACAUCAAAAGGCGCUGAUAAUUAUGUGUAUUGGUAUAUAUACUAUAUAUGUUUAUGCUUACACAUUUUUAUCCGCUGAUACACAUAAUUAAUUUGGCUUCUACAACGAAAGCUCGAUUUGGAGCUUAUGUGUUUAGAGACCUCUUAUGUCAGUACACAUUUCCUAUAUUACCUACCGACUAUGUUUUCGAUUAGUAGUUAUUCAUCGAAUUGACAUCACUUAAUUAUAUAAAUAGAUUUCUGGCCAUUUGUAAUCUUAUAUAUAUGUUGGGUUUUUUUUAUUUCGGUUCAUGUAUAUGUUUUCGAGUUGAGUGUGUUCUAUGAAUUAGUAGACAUAUACAUUUGUAAGACAGUUAAAGCCAUUCUCCAGUUGCUGGAUUUCGCUCUGUGUUAGAGUAGUUAUCAAAGGUACCAGGAUUGGAGAACCGUGUAUGACUUAUGGCUGUUUUCUGCUCAAUAAUUGAGCGGUUGUCAAUCUCAGGAAAUUACUUCUCAUUAUUUGCUCCUCAUUGUUAACGCGUCGCGAGUGGGAGAUGAACAACAAAGAGCAAGUGCGGAAAACAAAUUUUAGUUAGAUUGAGCUGUUGUCUCUUUGAUCGAUCACCCUUUUGUUUGCAGUUGUAUUAGAAUUAAAAAAAAUUGAAAGUCGUGGGUGAGGUCUUUAUAUCAAGACAACAGUAGUAAACUGCUGUCCAAUAGUCAUAAAUUGAUUAAGCGACAGCAAAUCCAGAUAAAGAAAAUCAAAACUGUUGAUAACACAUAAACUAUAUGAAGAACAGAAAACAACGGAAUAACAGAAACACUGAACUGCAACAUAAACCACCACCAACAUGCAUAGAAAAGGACUAUUUGAUAAAAAUUUAUAUAUUCCUGUUUUAGUAUAUGACAUUAAACCUAUGAUAGGUUGAACCUGGUUUAUGGCUAGCCAAACCUCCCAAUACCGCUAAAAUAACAGCAUUACGUUACAGGCGUACAGUAUAUUGGUAAUCAAUAACACAUAAUUGUAAAACCAUUAUCAUGACUUCAAUGGCAUAUGACCCAUUCAAACAAACGCGUUCACCUAAGGUGAUUUUUAUAAUCGAAAUAUGAUUGACGUAACGUGUUCACACUAACUUAUGAAAGUAUCUCAGGAAUACUUUACCUCAACUGAUGGAGACAGUAAUGCAUUGAUUUAUUUAGUCUUUACUGGAUUGAAACUCAUUUCUGGAUAUUUAUUUUGUUAAUAUUAGAGACUAAACAAACCUAUUACUUUGUUAUUUUAUUUCAGCCACCUCCGUGUUAUCCCUACCAAGAAAUUGUAUGGAGCAGGGAUGUCAAUGGCAUAAUGUACCCGACGAUAAAUCAAUUGACACCCUAUUAAGGAGUGAUGUAACGUUUAUAUUUUUCCAAUUGACUUUCCCGGCGCUAUUUCUGUGAAUGUCUGAUGAAGGAAAUAAUACACUGAAAAAUCUAAAUUGAAUUGCAAGUCUAAUAUCAGCCUGUCUAUGAUUUAAUUAAUCAGAACGACAUAAGCAGGCAUUUAUAAAAACAUCAACAAGAUUAAUUCUAUAACUCAUUAGUCCUUUAGAUUUUAAAUCGAGAGGUUAUAUGUAUGUUUUUGUUUUUAGUUCAUUUAUAUGUUUCGCAUUUAAGGUAGAUGGGGUGUCUAAAUUAUAAUCCAUAGAAUCUUUUAAUAAUUUGCCAAAAUGUAGUUCAUAUCCUGCUUGUUUAAAAACAUUAAUAAAAAGAAUGGGUCACCGGACUUAUUUUCAUGCAACAGGUUGUUCAAAAUUGUCAAGAUUUAGUAUAGAUUAUGCAUGGGAAAACUCAUUUUUCCGCCAUAAAACGCAAACCACACCAUAGAAUUUUGAGAUAAAAUAUGAGAAGAUAGCUUCAAUAUUAUGCUUUCAGAUAGAAAAGAAAAAAGGGUCACCGGACUCGUUUUCUUGCUACAUGUAAAAAUGGGUAAAUUCCUAACACAUUCUAUUGUAAAAGUAACACAAUCUGGAUUAUCUGCCCUUGCAUUUGAGUUGCCUCCCCUUAUUUGACAAAGUUGGAAAAAAAUGAAUCAAACAAAAGAAUUCUUAUUUUUGUAAAAUACAAUCAUAAAAUUGAUCAAACAUGGCAUUUUCUAUAUUAUAAUGAAAAUUCUUACACAUGAAUUACCUACUACUAUAAAAAUUUGCACAUUUCAUCAAAGAUCUAGACCUUGUUUUCUAGUAUUUCAAAAUCCAAGAAGACACCCUAUCUACCUUAAGUGUGUCCUACGUUUUCAUUGAACUUGUAUACAUGUGUGUCUCAGGACCAGUUUAAUCCUUACUCCGGUACGAAAUUUAUUCGCUCUGCUAAAUACCUAUUGGUGGCUAUUAGCGGUGUUCUGCUCUUUUGUCUGGUAGUUGUCUUUUUGACACAUUCCAUAUAUUCAUUCUUUAUUUCAUUUUACGUGUAUAUUCAAAAUCAUAAGACGAAAACAAACUGGCAGUGCAAAAAUAGAAAAAAUAUCGAAAAAAAACCAACAGUAUAUAUUAUCCAUAACAUAGCUAAAGACCGCGUUUCACGAAAACCAUAAAAAAAUAUGUUGUGAUCGCAAAAGAGUAAACAGGUGCUGCUCCAUAUAUAAGAGUAUGGAGAUGUUGUUUGCGGCAAUUGCUCUUAGCACAAUUCAGAACCUCUUGAAAAUAUUCAAUUAGAAGCUGCUAGAAUUUUUACUAGACUAAAACUUUAAGUUGAAUUAGGAUAAGAAACUUUUAAAACUUUACGGAAAAAACAUCAGCCUAUACUUUUUUUAAUAUCAAAUGGGAUUACACCUGCAUACUUAUAUGAGUCAGUCAAGUCAUAUUUUCCCAGAAUAUUUUUUUUAUAAAUAGAUUGAUGCUAUAUUUAAUCCUUUCGAUUAUUGGAUAAAGAAACUGAGAAAUAAUGCUAGCCACCUAAAAUCUCAUAUGUUUAAUAAAUUCUUAUCAGUAGAAAUUUUCGUGACAACUAUAAUGACCUUAGUGAAGAACACCUUCUUUACUGGUUUUAAAACAGAUCUUACUUAAUCAUGUUAAUUCCAUUCACUCAAUUCUUGAUAAUGUUGACCAGUUUUGGUUUAUUAAUAUUUGUUGUAUUUAGUGUUUAUUUUUAUUUAGUGUUUAUUUUUAUUUAGAGUUUAUCUGUUGUUUUUUUUUUCAUUUCUUUCCUGAUUGCCUUCAACAUUAAUCUAUUCCACUAAGUAAGCGUAGUGUCUCUUCUAAACCUUGUAUAAAUGCUUUUAAUGCUUUAUAAAGGAUAUUCACAUUUGUCGAGGUACUUGAAUAAAUAGUCAUUACUUUCCUGUAUACUUUAAUAUACGAUGUAUAGAUUAGUUUUAUUGAUA
rnacentral:lncRNA from 1 species